UUUAUUUUCAUUUUUUAUUUUCAUUCUUAAAAUCUCUAAGCAGUUAGGAGGAGGAGGAGAAGUCGAGUCUACUGAUGGGUUUGCUACUACCACUGCUGCUUCACUUGUUCGUGCAAAAGAUGACAGUGGUUUUGUUAAAUGUGAAGAGUGCAAGAAGGAUAUGCCAGUGGCUUUAUAAGUUUCCAAGGCCGUAGUCUUGAUGCUAAAAUCAAGAUGAAUUCUGGAAGACAGCAACCUUGACAGAGCCGAAAGCGAAGAAAGAGGAGAAGGACAAGGAUCAAAAUGCACUGAAACGACCUCCCAUUACUUUCUUUCUCCUCAUGGGUGAUCUUAGGAAAGAGUAUAAGGAAGGCAACCCGCACUCUAAGGAUGUUAAGAAGAUAAAUGAAACGUUGCAAGGGAAGGUGGUAAGAGAUGGAAAUCAAUGACCGAUGAAGAGAAUAAGCCUUAUGUGGAUAAGGCUGUUGAGCUUAAGGCAGGGUAUGCUGAAAAUAAGGAUGUGAGUUCAGAAUAUCUCCUCAAUUUAUUGAUUUAAUGAGAAUGUUGUUAUGAGAUUUAGAACCUUCAAGCUUAAUCCUUUAAUGAGUUUCGGGAUUGUGCCUGAAAUCUGAUACGUUUAAAAUCUCUUGAAAGUUGUUUGUCCUGUUGUUUAAAAUCCUUGAGAGAAACCCACUAAGCUGAUUUGAUUUGAGCUCCACUGAGGAUAUUACAUCUGGCAAUUUGAUCUCUAAAAUAUCAAACUUCAAUUGGUUAUGUGACAGCUUGAGCUUUUGCAAAUUAGACAUGUUGGUGAAGAAACCACUAAUGUUAUCUAUUAGAAAGUUAUCAGAUAGGUCUCAAGAGCUCAAAGAAUCUGGUCUUGUAAAUUUUAGAAGGUUUUCUUUGAGUUUACAGUUAGCUAGAUGAACACCUGAAAGUUCUUUAUCUUUGAUCCAAACAAGAACUGACCCUAAACUGAGGUUGUUGUAAGUCAGGUCUUUUGAUAAUAGACGAGGAAGACCCCUACCUUGAAUAACUGGCAAAGGAUUUGAGAGUUCAUUUCUGGAUAAGUUAAGGUGCCACAUGUUUUGUAAGUUUGAAAUGGAUGAAAGAAUUUGACCUAUAAGACCAUUAGAACUCAAAGAAGUGUAAGAGAUUCUUGAUCUGCAGCUUCUCAGCCCUUCUCCUCUCUCUUAUUCGAUUGAGUUUUGGGCUUGCUUUUGUGAGACAUCUCGUUGCUGGUGUGGCUUUUUUUUCUCUGAUUCGCAGGUCAUUCAUUCCUGGAUUGGUGCACUAUAAUGAUUGCCCAUAAAAAGGGCUUCAAUUUGGCAAGUUGUUCAUAUUAUAAUUUGUGUCGAGGGAAGUGCUGAUUGAGCGUCCUAUUCAUCUGGGACCGGUUUCCUAGGGCCUGGCCAUUCCAUCUUCUCUGUGGGUUGGUGGCUAGGUAUGGUCUUCAUGCAACCAGGUUUGGUAAAGCCUUAUUUUCAGUUUCAUUUGAUUUGCUUUUUUUAUUUAUUUCCUGCACCCCCUUACCACUCCAUUUCACUUCGUUUUAGGAUGGGCUGCCAUGUUUGCUUUGGCUAUCAUAGCUGCCCUGAUUAGCUUAUUUCCCAUCGUGUCAAGUUGUCUAAUUUUUUUAUUUAAGAGAGUAACGAAUGGGUAGUUGUUUUCCCCCCCUUGAAAAGCGUGGUUGUGUGCUCUCUCGGUUUCUUUCUUGCAUUUGUUUUUUGGUUGUUUUCUCUAUGCUGUUCUUGGCUUUGGUUCCUUUUUUUCUUUUUCUUUUUCUCUUGGCAACAUCUGUUCAUUGUUAAUUUUUUAUUUCAAUUGUGAGGAUGGCUGUAAAAAUUGGUUUUGCUAAUCUUUGUUGAAUGUUUUUGGGCUGUGGCUGUAUCGGUUGUUUUGAUCUAUUUGCUCUGUAUCCAUUUUGGCUUUUGGUUAUUUUUUGCUCUAGCAAUCCCUAUUUGGUGUUUUUUCUUUGGGUUUUUUUAUUGUUUUGAUAGGUUAACCAGAAGAUUUGACAUCUUAUACGUUGGUUUUUUUGGUUUUGGGUUUUGUUUGCCAUGUGGGGCCUCUUCUCCUGCGUUUCCAGCUUUGUUGGGUGAGCUUACGUGGUUUUAUUUUACUGGUAAGGCCAACCAUUGAGGUCCUUUUCAGCUCUCUUUUUUUUCCUUUAAAGAUUAGUGCAUUCAUGAGUUGUUUUGUAUUGUUUUAUGAUGUUGUUCCUUUGUGGAUGUUCUAGACUUCAAGUUUGUUGCUCUUGGUUGUGGCUGGCUGGGUGCUGAAAAAAUUUACUUCUUUGGCUGUUUUUGCGUUCAUAAGUAGCUUCAUGUUGCGUGUAGAUGCAUGUUUAAAGAUUCAAAUUUUUUUUUACUUUAAUUGUGGCUACUUGAAUGCUAAUGAGGUUUCCUAGAAAAUUUUGAUUAUGCUUUAAAGAUGAUUCACUAGAUGUUCAACACUUUCAAGGCUACAUGUUUCUUAAAGGAUGAUGCACAAAGGAGUAAAAAGAAUUCAUUGGUUGCUAAAUGUUUAGGAUUUGGUUUUUUGAAAAUCAACACUUUUGUUCUACUCUUCUUUCCUCUUCCCUCACCUUUGUUUUCUAAUUUUUAUUGUGGAACAUCUAUCACUUGCCCUAUUGUUUUGAUGUCAACUCUGCUAGGAUCACACCCAUUGUCUCCUCAAUCAGCUUAUUGGUCUUCUUUCAAGGAUCUGACGGUACAUCUCACUUUUUUUCUUUCGCUUACACAUGUUCUUAGCUUCUCAUAGUUGUUACUUUGAGUACCCCCCCCCCUCCUUUACUCAAUCCUUAUCCAUCUUUCUUUUAAGUUUGCUUCUACAUAGUUGUUAUGCUCCCAACCUCCAUUUUUACUCCGGAAGCAGUUCCUUUUGUGUUUUUUUUGCUGCUGCAGUUGUUUUCUCUUAUACAUUGUGCUUGCACUCUUUUACCCUUUUUGUUUUUUAUCCAACAUUUCGUUUCAUUUCGCUGGCUCAGCAUCCUAUUCAUCACUAGAUUUGUGACUUUGCAAGGUGCUGUUUAUGUUGGUGCUCUGUUAGCAAUGUCGAUCCUAUAAUCAGGUUUUUAAGAGGCCUUUAUUCUUCUUAGUCUCAAGGAAUGCGUCAAAUGUAUGGAAGAUUAAUAUUCUAAAAUAUUUUUUUUAGUUUGUGUUAAUCUACUCAACACGAGGAUAAUUGCCUACUUAGCUACAAAAUGAAAUAUUUACAUUCAUAUCCAUAUUAACCGCUUCUAUCUUAGUGAGAAGCUGUCAGCUCCAUCCAUUUUUACAUUCUGACUGUCGCACGUCCCCCGCACGGCGAUUAGGCGAUUUUUCAUCUGUUUUGCUUGAUUGAUUCAUUGGAGUCGCCACCUAGUAUUUCAUUAAGGGUUACUAAGAAACCCAGAUGUACUGAUCUUUGUCAGAGAUUAAAGGGUAAGAGACUGGUUGUGGCUAGGAAAGGUAUUAGCACCCCUAGCACACCCUACCUGAGGUAAGCUGCUUUGCGGUUUGAUGUGAUUUGAAAAUUUGAAAUAUUAAUUAAAUUCCAAGGUUUUAAUAAAUCAGUUAUUAAAUCCCAGAAUAUAUGUAAAAACAUGUUCUUACAUUUUCAUGGAAAAUAUAACAUGAUUUUAUUUGUCCUCAAGAUAUUUAAUCAUAUUCAAAUUAAACAAUUAAUUCUUUUUGUCUUUUUUAACAUUUAUAAAACAUGUAAAAUAAAAUACACACACACUCGUCACUUUUUACUAUAAUCAACUCACACAUCAUUUUUACAAGUUACAAAAUAACAAAAUUUAAAAUAAAUCAAAUACAAUGCAAAAAUUACAAAAAAAUAAACCCCAAAACUCCAGGAAUUGAUGGGAACAUCUUCUGGGAUCCGCCGGAACAGUGCUGGGAACAUUUUCUGGGCAUCUGAAAAGUGGCGGCGCGUGAACCCACGCGCCACUGCUACUGUUGGAACGCGGGCCAUUGAAUCUGAAGCCCCAUAGUCUCCUCUUUACUCCUGCAUCGGCGGUGACCUCCACCGUUUCUCAAGAAGAGAAAUCUAGCUAGUUUAAGGUUCAGCCUUCUUUCCCCUUCAAAUCUUCUCCACCAGUGGAGAUUCAUUGUCGCCUGAAACAGAAAAAAAUAUCACAACAGCAGUUGGUUUUAAUUAUUUUACAGGUCUGUUCUCAUUCUCCUUUUUAGCUCUGGCGGCUAUGGGAGACGAGGAACUGGUUCGGUCGGCGGGGAGAGGUUGGUUCUGUGGGGGAAAACCGGCCCGGGUUCGGGGAGUUCGGUUGGAAGUGGAACGGGGUUCGUGGCGCCGCUGUGUGUGGGCUGCUGUCGAAGGAAGACGGCGCUUCUGUACGGGGAGGGGCCGUUGCUACUGGAAGAAGGAGCUGGGUCUGCCGGAUCUUUGGACGGCGCUGCUGCAGAGACGCCGCUGGUUUGCCCAAAUUUAUGGGCGGCUGGAGUGAGGGUAGAUCUGUGGAAGCUGGGGGUGAGGCCUCUCGGUUCAAUAGGGAGGAAGAUGGGGCUGAGGGGGAGAAAGUGGAGCUGGGAAAAUGGGGGGGAGGUCUGUGUGCAAGCGGCUCCUCCCCUCUGGUGGUCUUUUGACCAAGAAAAGGGGAAGACUUUGGGCGGCUUGUUGGCUGGGACUUGAGAGGAAAUGGGGGCUUCGGGUUUUUUCGGGUCAGGGAAAAAAAAAGCAGAGGCAAGGACGUGAGGCUGGCCUGGUUUGGGAGAAGAAGCUCCUAAUUCAAAACCUCAGGGCCGGGGUCCCUCUUCCCUCUUUGAAUGGGGGUGGCGGCUGCCUGGUGAUGAAGAUAGGUUUAGGGUUUUUUUUUGUUUUUUUUCUUUUCCUCAAAAUGUUCUCCCCGGUGAAUAAAAUUUUCUUCCCCCUCUUUUUUCACUGUAGCGUGGCAUUUAUAGGAGAAAUGUGACUUGGCCAAAAUCACAAUGGUCCCUCAACUUUUCCUUUC